UGGGGAAUAUUGGACAAUGGGCGAAAGCCUGAUCCAGCAAUGCCGCGUGAGUGAUGAAGGCCCUAGGGUUGUAAAGCUCUUUUACCCGGGAUGAUAAUGACAGUACCGGGAGAAUAAGCCCCGGCUAACUCCGUGCCAGCAGCCGCGGUAAUACGGAGGGGGCUAGCGUUGUUCGGAAUUACUGGGCGUAAAGCGCACGUAGGCGGCUUUGUAAGUCAGGGGUGAAAUCCCGGGGCUCAACCCCGGAACUGCCCUUGAGACUGCAAGGCUCGAAUCCAGGAGAGGUGAGUGGAAUUCCGAGUGUAGAGGUGAAAUUCGUAGAUAUUCGGAAGAACACCAGUGGCGAAGGCGGCUCACUGGACUGGUAUUGACGCUGAGGUGCGAAAGCGUGGGGAGCAAA
rnacentral:rRNA from 1 species